rnacentral:rRNA from 1 species
AGAGUUUGAUCCUGGCUCAGAACGAACGCUGGCGGCGUGCUUAACACAUGCAAGUCGAACGGGGUGCCAGUGGUAGCAAUACCAUUGUCAUCUAGUGGCGAACGGGUGCGUAACACGUGAGCAACCUACCCCAGAGUCAGGGAUAACACCGGGAAACCGGUGCUAAUACCAGAUACCUUCACCACCUCGCAUGGGGAGGUGAGGAAAGAUUCAUCGCUCUAGGACGGGCUCGCGGCCUAUCAGCUUGUUGGUGGGGUAAUGGCCUACCAAGGCGACGACGGGUAGCUGGUCUGAGAGGACGAUCAGCCACACUGGGACUGAGACACGGCCCAGACUCCUACGGGAGGCGAC